rnacentral:rRNA from 1 species
ACAAGGUCUCCGUUGGUGAACCAGCGGAGGGAUCAUUACUGAGUUACCGCUCUAUAACCCUUUGUGAACAUACCUAACUGUUGCUUCGGCGGGCAGGGGGUGCCGCCUGCGGACCCCCCUCCCGGCCCUGCCCUCACGGGCGGAGCGCCCGCCGGAGGAUACCAAACUCUAUUUUAACGACGUUUCUUCUGAGUGGCACAAGCAAAUAAUUAAAACUUUCAACAACGGAUCUCUUGGUUCUGGCAUCGAUGAAGAACGCAGCGAAAUGCGAUAAGUAAUGUGAAUUGCAGAAUUCAGUGAAUCAUCGAAUCUUUGAACGCACAUUGCGCCCGCCAGCAUUCUGGCGGGCAUGCCUGUUCGAGCGUCAUUUCAACCCUCAAGCUCUGCUUGGUGUUGGGGCCCUACGGUUGACGUAGGCCCUUAAAGGUAGUGGCGGACCCUCUCGGAGCCUCCUUUGCGUAGUAACUAACGUCUCGCACUGGGAUUCGGAGGGACUCUUGCCGUAAAACCCCCAAAUUUUUAAAGGUUGACCUCGGAUCAGGUAGGAAUACCCGCUGAACUUAAGCAUAUCAA